rnacentral:rRNA from 1 species
CCUACGGGUGGCAGCAGUGGGGAAUAUUGGGCAAUGGGCGCAAGCCUGACCCAGCAACGCCGCGUGAAGGAAGAAGGCUUUCGGGUUGUAAACUUCUUUUGUCAGGGACGAAGCAAGUGACGGUACCUGACGAAUAAGCCACGGCUAACUACGUGCCAGCAGCCGCGGUAAUACGUAGGUGGCAAGCGUUAUCCGGAUUUAUUGGGUGUAAAGGGCGUGUAGGCGGGAAUGCAAGUCAGAUGUGAAAACUAGGGGCUCAACCCAUAGACUGCAUUUGAAACUGUAUUUCUUGAGUGCUGUAGAGGCAAUCGGAAUUCCGGGUGUAGCGGUGAAAUGCGUAGAUAUACGGAGGAACACCAGUGGCGAAGGCGGAUUGCUAGACAGUAACUGACGCUGAGGCGCGAAAGCGUGGGGAGCAAACAGGAUUAGAUACCCUUGUAGUC